rnacentral:rRNA from 1 species
ACCAAGGCUACGAUGAUUAGGGGUCCUGAGAGGGAGAUCCCCCACACUGGUACUGAGACACGGACCAGACUCCUACGGGAGGCAGCAGUGAGGAAUAUUGGUCAAUGGAGGCAACUCUGAACCAGCCAUGCCGCGUGCAGGAUGACGGUCCUAUGGAUUGUAAACUGCUUUUGUACGGGAAGAAAUGUAAUUACGUGUAAUUAUUUGACGGUACCGUAAGAAUAAGGAUCGGCUAACUCCGUGCCAGCAGCCGCGGUAAUACGGAGGAUCCGAGCGUUAUCCGGAAUUAUUGGGUUUAAAGGGUUCGUAGGCGGUUGAGUAAGUCAGUGGUGAAAUCUUAUAGCUUAACUAUAAGAUUGCCGUUGAUACUGCUUGACUUGAAUAGUAUGGAAGUAAUUAGAAUAUGUAGUGUAGCGGUGAAAUGCUUAGAUAUUACAUGGAAUACCAAUUGCGAAGGCAGAUUACUACGUACUUAUUGACGCUGAUGAACGAAAGCGUGGGUAGCGAACAGGAUUAGAUACCCUGGUAGUCCACGCCGUAAACGAUGGAUACUAGCUGUUCGGUUUUCGGACUGAGUGGCUAAGCGAAAGUGAUAAGUAUCCCACCUGGGGAGUACGUUCGCAAGAAUGAAACUCACAGGAAUUGACGGGGGCCCGCACAAGCGGUGGAGCAUGUGGUUUAAUUCGAUGAUACGCGAGGAACCUUACCAAGGCUUAAAUGUAGAUUGACAGGUUUAGAGAUAGACUUUUCUUCGGACAAUUUACAAGGUGCUGCAUGGUUGUCGUCAGCUCCUGCCGUGAGGUGUCAGGUUAAGUCCUAUAACCAGCGCCACCCCUAUUGUUAGUUGCCACCGGAUCAAGCCGGGAACUCUAACAGAACUGCCGGUGCCAACCCGGAAGAAGGUGGGGAUGACGU